CCUACGGGAGGCAGCAGUGAGGAAUAUUGGUCAAUGGACGAGAGUCUGAACCAGCCAAGUAGCGUGAAGGAUGACUGCCCUAUGGGUUGUAAACUUCUUUUAUAUGGGAAUAAAAUGUUCCACGUGUGGGAUUUUGUAUGUACCAUAUGAAUAAGGAUCGGCUAACUCUGUGCUAGCAGCCGCGGUAAUACGGAGGAUCCGAGCGUUAUCCGGAUUUAUUGGGUGUAAAGGGACGGAGGUGGAUUGUUAAGGCAGUUGUGAAAAUUUGCGGGUCAACCGUAAAAUUGCAGUUGAAACUGGCAGUCUUGAGUACAGUAGAGGUGGGCGGAAUUCGUGGUGGAGCGGUGGAAUGCUUAGAUAUCACGAAGAACUCCGAUUGCGAAGGCAGCUCACUGGACUGCAACUGACACUGAGGCUCGAAAGUGUGGGUAUCAAACAGGAUUAGAUACCCGAGUAGUC
rnacentral:rRNA from 1 species